rnacentral:rRNA from 1 species
CCUACGGGGGCUGCAGUGGGGGAUAUUGCACAACGGGGGAAACCCUGAUGCAGCGACGCCGCGUGAGUGAAGAAGUAUUUCGGUAUGUAAAGCUCUAUCAGCAGGGAAGAAAAUGACAGUAUCUGACCAAGAAGCCCCGGCUAACUAAGUGCCCGCAGCCGCGGUAAUACGGAGGGGGCAAGAGUUAUCCGGAUUUACUGGGUGUAAAGGGAGCGUAGACGGGUAUGUAAGUCUGGAUUGAAAGCCCGGGGCCCAACCCCGGGACUGCUUUGGAAACUGUGUAACUGGAGUACAGGAGGGGCAGGCGGAAUUCCUGGUGUAGCGGUGAAAUGCGUAGAUAUCAGGAGGAACACCGGCGGCGAAGGCGGCCUGCUGGACUGAAACUGACGUUGAGGCUCGAAAGCGUGGGGAGCAAACAGGAUUAGAUACCCGGGUAGUC